CCUGGCGACGAGUGGCGAACGGGUGAGUAAUAUAUCGGAACGUGCCCAGUAGUGGGGGAUAGCCCGGCGAAAGCCGGAUUAAUACCGCAUACGACCUACGGGUGAAAGCGGGGGAUCGCAAGACCUCGCGCUAUUGGAGCGGCCGAUAUCAGAUUAGGUAGUUGGUGGGGUAAAAGCCUACCAAGCCGACGAUCUGUAGCUGGUCUGAGAGGACGACCAGCCACACUGGGACUGAGACACGGCCCAGACUCCUACGGGAGGCAGCAGUGGGGAAUUUUGGACAAUGGGCGCAAGCCUGAUCCAGCCAUGCCGCGUGCGGGAAGAAGGCCUUCGGGUUGUAAACCGCUUUUGUCAGGGAAGAAACGCCCUGGGCUAAUACCCCGGGGUAAUGACGGUACCUGAAGAAUAAGCACCGGCUAACUACGUGCCA
rnacentral:rRNA from 1 species